CUGCUUCAACACUAUUCAUCAUGUUGGCAUUCCAAGAAACAGAUGAGACUUACUCGGGGAGAUAAAAGAAUUACCAUCUUUUAUGCUGGAUUCUGCAAAAGACACCUUCAAGGUCCAAAGAGGAAUGAUGCUGUACAUAAUACAGAGCCAACACUCAGGGACUUGAGUCUAUCUGCAGCAAGGAUUGAUUAAGUUUCUAAAAGUUUGGCAUUUAACCGGAGCUUCCACGUUGGUUCUAUAAAUCUCUUGACCUAGAGAAGUCUUUCAAAUUUCUCACGGACACUUCUGGACUAUUGCGAUGUCAAAGAGAUGAAAUAAAUAUGAGUUAUCCAAGGAUCCUGAUGCAA